CACAAUGUCCCUGACUGGAAAGACUCUCAGUGCUGCUGAGUCAGCACAGUGCAGAACCUGGCCCAAGAGGUGAUAAGGCCUCCUAGAGACGACAAGCAAGUUGAGGAAGCGGCUAGCUAAGGGAAGAGCAACUCAGUGAAAUGUCCAGGUCAAACCUGCAACUCACCCAGCCUAUUCCCACCAUUUAGGACAUGGAUGUCCUUUCUCAGUCCAGGGCCCAACAAUGAAAGCAUCACUAAGGACUGUGCCAUCCCUUUGAAUGGAGUGUUAGGUGAGGUGUGCCG